rnacentral:rRNA from 1 species
AUGCUGCUCACCCCGACCUCUCGGCGUCGAGGCCUGGCCACCAUUGCAUCACUCACGGCUUGGUCGCUAUGACGGCACCGGAACGCGAUCAUCUUCGACAAAGUGGCCCCUUCAUCUGCCACACUCAUUGCGGCAAUCAAAGACGAAGCUCGCUCCUGGGCCGCGGCAGGAGCUCGAGGGAUGGCUGCGCGCAAUCUUGUAACUUUAUCAUGUAGUCCCUUGGGGCUGAGCAUCCCCAUGUCUUCUGCUUCCUCCGGGUCCAUAGCCUUGCCAUUCGUGUGUACGAGACUAUGGCCCCUUCCUUGUACUUGUUCUAACCCUCCUAUCAAUGCAAUGAUACGCUACCUUAGCGUAUUCGAUAAAAAAAAAACUACAGUGCUGCAGGGAGUCCGGAGGGGCCGACAUGAAAGCAUCGAGGCUUGA